rnacentral:lncRNA from 1 species
UUUCAAAGAUCAAGUCAACUGUGUUUCAUGGGUCCCCUUCGCUCGUGCACCUAUGCACAAAGAAGCUAUGGUUAUCAUCACCAGCUUCCACAGUUUCAAUUUGAUGAUUCACAAGCAUAAUUUGAAGCAAUGGUUGAUACCGAAUUCAUCGACAUUUGAUCUUCCUCAAAUGGCUACUGAUGCAUCGAGUUCAUGUAUGAGUGUGAAACAGAGAGAGGUGCAGGGCAGCUUUUGCUUUUGGAUUGUUUAAGGGGACUCUUGUCUGUUGACUGUGGAGACUGUGAGUUUAUUAUAGAAUCGAUAAAGCAAGAAACCCAACUGAGAUUACUCAACAAAGCAAGAAAUAAUAAUUCACCCAACAGAGAUCUCACAAGGAGCUAGCAAUUCCAUCACCUCGAGAUUCUCACCUUUCCGUAAUAAUUAUUGAGACCAAAAGAAAAUAAAGAAUAUGGAAUUUGAGAGGCUUUACUUUAAAAGAAUGGCCGCUCUCAGCCAGAUGGGAAUGUUGGAUUCUUAAAAAUG